UCACAGUGAUUGAUUGGGUACGUACGU
rnacentral:piRNA from 1 species